rnacentral:rRNA from 1 species
CCUACGGGUGGCAGCAGUGGGGAAUAUUGCACAAUGGGCGCAAGCCUGAUGCAGCCAUGCCGCGUGUGUGAAGAAGGCCUUCGGGUUGUAAAGCACUUUCAGCGGGGAGGAAGGCGUUAAGGUUAAUAACCUUGGCGAUUGACGUUACCCGCAGAAGAAGCGCCGGCUAACUCCGUGCCAGCAGCCGCGGUAAUACGGUGGGUGCAAGCGUUAAUCGGAAUUACUGGGCGUAAAGCGCACGCAGGCGGUCUGUCAAGUCGGAUGUGAAAUCCCCGGGCUCAACCUGGGAACUGCAUUCGAAACUGGCAGGCUAGAGUCUUGUAGAGGGGGGUAGAAUUCCAGGUGUAGCGGUGAAAUGCGUAGAGAUCUGGAGGAAUACCGGUGGCGAAGGCGGCCCCCUGGACAAAGACUGACGCUCAGGUGCGAAAGCGUGGGGAGCAAACAGGAUUAGAUACCCGGGUAGUC